UCGAGCGGAAACGACCACUAACAAUCCUUCGGGUGCGUUAAUGGGCGUCGAGCGGCGGACGGGUGAGUAAUGCCUAGGAAAUUGCCUUGAUGUGGGGGAUAACCAUUGGAAACGAUGGCUAAUACCGCAUAAUGCCUACGGGCCAAAGAGGGGGACCUUCGGGCCUCUCGCGUCAAGAUAUGCCUAGGUGGGAUUAGCUAGUUGGUGAGGUAAUGGCUCACCAAGGCGACGAUCCCUAGCUGGUCUGAGAGGAUGAUCAGCCACACUGGAACUGAGACACGGUCCAGACUCCUACGGGAGGCAGCAGUGGGGAAUAUUGCACAAUGGGCGAAAGCCUGAUGCAGCCAUGCCGCGUGUAUGAAGAAGGCCUUCGGGUUGUAAAGUACUUUCAGUUGUGAGGAAGGGUGUGUAGUUAAUAGCUGCGCAUCUUGACGUUAGCAACAGAAGAAGC
rnacentral:rRNA from 1 species